rnacentral:rRNA from 1 species
UACAGAGGGUGCGAGCGUUGUUCGGAAUUAUUGGGCGUAAAGCGCUUGUAGGCGGCACGUCAAGUCGCGUGUGAAAUCCCCAGGCUUAACCUGGGAAGUGCGCGCGAAACUGACGAGCUUGAGUGCCGGAGAGGAUCGCGGAAUUCCCGGUGUAGAGGUGAAAUUCGUAGAUAUCGAGAGGAACACCGGUGGCGAAGGCGGCCAACUGGACGAAUACUGACGCUGAGACACGAAAGCGUGGGGAGCAAACAGG